UACGUAGGGGGGCAAGCGUUGUCCGGAAUUAUUGGGCGUAAAGAGCGUGUAGGCGGUCCGGUAAGUCGGCUGUGAAAGUCCAGGGCUCAACCCUGGGGAUGCCGGUCGAUACUGCCGGACUAGAGUUCGGAAGAGGCGAGUGGAAUUCCCGGUGUAGCGGUGAAAUGCGCAGAUAGUCCGGGAGGAACACCUAUGGCGAAGGCAG
rnacentral:rRNA from 1 species